rnacentral:rRNA from 1 species
UGACGGUACCUGACUAAGAAGCCCCGGCUAACUACGUGCCAGCAGCCGCGGUAAUACGUAGGGGGCAAGCGUUAUCCGGAAUUACUGGGUGUAAAGGGUGCGCAGGUGGUAAGGCAAGUCAGGAGUGAAAUGCCGGGGCUCAACUUCGUGUCUGCAUUUGAAACUGUAGUUCUUGAGUGCUGGAGAGGCUAACGGAAUUCCUAGUGUAGCGGUGAAAUGCGUAGAUAUUAGGAGGAACACCAGUGGCGAAGGCGGUUAGCUGGACAGUAACUGACGCUGAGGCGCGAAAGCGUGGGUAGCAAACAGGAUUAGAUACCCUG